GAGACAGCAGCAGCCACGGGAAUACGAAGGGUGCAAGCGUUAAUCGGAAUUACUGGGCGUAAAGCGUGCGUAGGCGGUUUGUUAAGUCUGUUGUGAAAUCCCCGGGCUCAACCUGGGAAUGGCAAUGGAUACUGGCAAGCUAGAGUGUGUCAGAGGAUGGUGGAAUUCCCGGUGUAGCGGUGAAAUGCGUAGAGAUCGGGAGGAACAUCAGUGGCGAAGGCGGCCAUCUGGGACAACACUGACGCUGAGGCACGAAAGCGUGGGGAGCAAACAGGAUUAGAUACCCCGGUAGUCCCUGUCUCUUAUAC
rnacentral:rRNA from 1 species